rnacentral:rRNA from 1 species
CCUACGGGAGGCAGCAGUGAGGAAUAUUGGUCAAUGGCCGAGAGGCUGAACCAGCCAAGUCGCGUGAGGGAAGACGGCCCUACGGGUUGUAAACCUCUUUUGUCGGGGAGCAAAGCGAGUCACGUGUGACUCAUUGAGAGUACCCGAAGAAAAAGCAUCGGCUAACUCCGUGCCAGCAGCCGCGGUAAUACGGAGGAUGCGAGCGUUAUCCGGAUUUAUUGGGUUUAAAGGGUGCGUAGGCGGGCUGUUAAGUCAGCGGUCAAAUGUCGGGGCUCAACCCCGGCCUGCCGUUGAAACUGGCGGCC